rnacentral:antisense_RNA from 1 species
CCAGAUGGCAUCCCAUCAUCCGCAGCAUCUCAACCUUUAUCUCCUAUCUCCUUCCUCAUCUCCUUCCUAAGUAAAGAACACCUUCCAACUCAACAUAAGGCAGCUACAGGUUGGAGUGCAAUGGCACAAUCUCGGCUCACGACAACCUCUGCCUCCCGGGUAUAAGUGAUUCUCCUGCCUCAGCCUCCCGAGUAGCUGAGAUUACAGCCUUAAACCGAUUAAAUGAAGUCUUGACGGCCAGCAGCCUGCAUCCACUACAGAAAAAACGACACAUUGAAUCACACCUUCACUUGAAUUCAGUUGAGUUCCAGUGACUACCACCUCUGUGCUUUGUCAACGUUGGGUUGAGUCCUUUCCUGAAAACACAUCAGUGUAACUAAGAAGUCACUGCUGUUUCUUGGAGUUGGGUUGGAAUAGUUGGAGUGGGAGCCAGGAUGGUUGGAAAACAAACCACACAUAUUGCUGCUUCUGGAAGCUUUGUUCUUUAAUGAGCCGUGGGGUGAUAGUUGUUCAUCAAGCUGCUUUUGUGUAGCCAUACAGUGCAUAUUUUGAGUGACACAAACUGCACUUUAUACAGAUGAUAUCUUGUUACCCCUCAACCCCCCGGCAAAGAAAAAAAACAAAAAGGA